rnacentral:rRNA from 1 species
GACGAACGCUGGCGGCGUGCCUAAUACAUGCAAGUAGAACGCACAGUUUAUACCGUAGCUUGCUACACCAUAGACUGUGAGUUGCGAACGGGUGAGUAACGCGUAGGUAACCUGCCUGGUAGCGGGGGAUAACUAUUGGAAACGAUAGCUAAUACCGCAUAAUAUUAAUUAUUGCAUGAUAAUUAAUUGAAAGGUGCAAUUGCACCACUACCAGAUGGCCCUGCGUUGUAUUAGCUAGUAGGUGAGGUAACGGCUCACCUAGGCGACGAUACAUAGCCGACCUGAGAGGGUGAUCGGCCACACUGGGACUGAGACACGGCCCAGACUCCUACGGGAGGCAGCAGUAGGGAAUCUUCGGCAAUGGACGAAAGUCUGACCGAGCAACGCCGCGUGAGUGAAGAAGGUUUUCGGAUCGUAAAGCUCUGUUGUAAGAGAAGAACGGGUGUGAGAGUGGAAAGUUCACACUGUGACGGUAGCUUACCAGAAAGGGACGGCUAACUACGUG